rnacentral:rRNA from 1 species
UCGAACGGCAGCGCGGGGCAACCUGGCGGCGAGUGGCGAACGGGUGAGUAAUACAUCGGAACGUGCCCUGUGAUGGGGGAUAACUACGCGAAAGCGUAGCUAAUACCGCAUACGACCCAAGGGUGAAAGUGGGGGAUCGCAAGACCUCACGUCAUAGGAGCGGCCGAUGGCGGAUUAGCUAGUUGGUGAGGUAAAGGCUUACCAAGGCGACGAUCCGUAGCUGGUCUGAGAGGACGACCAGCCACACUGGGACUGAGACACGGCCCAGACUCCUACGGGAGGCAGCAGUGGGGAAUCUUGGACAAUGGGGGCAACCCUGAUCCAGCAAUGCCGCGUGUGGGAUGAAGGCCUUCGGGUUGUAAACCACUUUUGGCGGGGGCGAAAUGUCGAGUGCUAAUACCAUUCGGUGAUGACGGUACCCGCAGAAUAAGCACCGGCUAACUACGUGCCAGCAGCCGCGGUAAUACGUAGGGUGCAAGCGUUAAUCGGAAUUACUGGGCGUAAAGCGUGCGCAGGCGGUUAAGUAAGACAGAUGUGAAAUUCCCGGGCUCAACCUGGGAACUGCAUUUGUGACUGCUUGACUAGAGUGCGGCAGAGGGGAGUGGAAUUCCGCGUGUAGCAGUGAAAUGCGUAGAUAUGCGGAGGAACACCGAUGGCGAAGGCAACUCCCUGGACCUGCACUGACGCUCAUGCACGAAAGCGUGUGGAGCAAACAGGAUUAGAUACCCUGGUAGUCACG